CACAGUUGUAGCAUUUCACAUUGGUCUUAUCCUUCUUGCCACCACGCUUGCCACGUUUGGCAAACUUGUUUUGCUUCUUAAGACCAGUUUGAUAGGGAGCCUUAUUUCCCUUGUUACCUCUCUUGCGCUUCAAGCCCGAGCUUGAACUUGCAACAUUAGCCUCAUUGAAGGGUUUCGCAGCCUCUAGGCGCUCAUCUUCUAACUCAAGAUGACGCGAUAUGUCCUCAAAUGUUUUCACAUUCACGUUGUGAGUCAUCUGAACCCUC
rnacentral:lncRNA from 1 species